rnacentral:rRNA from 1 species
AGCGAACGUUGGCGGCAGGCUUAACACAUGCAAGUCGAGCGGGCGUAGCAAUACGUCAGCGGCAGACGGGUGAGUAACGCGUGGGAACGUACCUUUUGGUUCGGAACAACACAGGGAAACUUGUGCUAAUACCGGAUAAGCCCUUACGGGGAAAGAUUUAUCGCCGAAAGAUCGGCCCGCGUCUGAUUAGCUAGUUGGUGAGGUAACGGCUCACCAAGGCGACGAUCAGUAGCUGGUCUGAGAGGAUGAUCAGCCACAUUGGGACUGAGACACGGCCCAAACUCCUACGGGAGGCAGCAGUGGGGAAUAUUGGACAAUGGGCGCAAGCCUGAUCCAGCCAUGCCGCGUGAGUGAUGAAGGCCCUAGGGUUGUAAAGCUCUUUUGUGCGGGAAGAUAAUGACGGUACCGCAAAAAUAAGCCCCGGCUAACUUCGUGCCAGCCGCCGCCGUAAUAC